GAUGAACGCUGGCGGCGUGCCUAACACAUGCAAGUCGAACGGGGUUAUCGCAAGGAAGUCUUCGGAUGGAAUUGUGGUAACCUAGUGGCGGACGGGUGAGUAACGCGUGGGUAACCUGCCCCAUACAGGGGGAUAACAGCCGGAAACGGCUGCUAAAACCGCAUAAGCGCACACCGGCGCAUGCCGGAGUGUGAAAAUGUAUGCCUUUAAGGUAUGCAGGUAUGGGAUGGGCCCGCGUCUGAUUAGCUAGUUGGUGAGGUAACGGCUCACCAAGGCGACGAUCAGUAGCCGGCUUGAGAGAGUGACCGGCCACAUUGGGACUGAGACACGGCCCAAACUCCUACGGGAGGCAGCAGUGGGGAAUAUUGCACAAUGGGGGAAACCCUGAUGCAGCGACGCCGCGUGAGUGAAGAAGUACUUCGGUACGUAAAGCUCUAUCAGCAGGGAAGAAGAUGACGGUACCUGACUAAGAAGCCCCGGCUAACUACGUG
rnacentral:rRNA from 1 species